UGGGGAAUAUUGCACAAUGGGGGAAACCCUGAUGCAGCGACGCCGCGUGAACGAAGAAGGUAUUCGUAUCGUAAAGUUCUGUCCUAUGGGAAGAUAAUGACAGUACCAUAGAAGAAAGCUCCGGCUAAAUACGUGCCAGCAGCCGCGGUAAUACGUAUGGAGCGAGCGUUGUCCGGAAUUAUUGGGCGUAAAGGGUACGCAGGCGGUUUAAUAAGUCGAAUGUUUAAGAUCGGGGCUCAACCCCGCAAAGCAUUGGAAACUGAUAAACUUGAGUAGUGGAGAGGAAAGGGGAAUUCCUAGUGUAGUGGUGAAAUACGUAGAUAUUAGGAGGAAUACCAGUAGCGAAGGCGACUUUCUGGACACAAACUGACGCUGAGGUACGAAAGCGUGGGGAGCAAACAGG
rnacentral:rRNA from 1 species